GUCGAACGAUGAAGCCUUUCGGGGUGGAUUAGUGGCGAACGGGUGAGUAACACGUGGGCAAUCUGCCCUUCACUCUGGGACAAGCCCUGGAAACGGGGUCUAAUACCGGAUGAUACUUCCACUCGCAUGGGUGGGGGUUGAAAGCUCCGGCGGUGAAGGAUGAGCCCGCGGCCUAUCAGCUUGUUGGUGAGGUAGUGGCUCACCAAGGCGACGACGGGUAGCCGGCCUGAGAGGGCGACCGGCCACACUGGGACUGAGACACGGCCCAGACUCCUACGGGAGGCAGCAGUGGGGAAUAUUGCACAAUGGGCGAAAGCCUGAUGCAGCGACGCCGCGUGAGGGAUGACGGCCUUCGGGUUGUAAACCUCUUUCAGCAGGGAAGAAGCGAAAGUGACGGUACCUGCAGAAGAAGCGCCGGCUAACUACGUGCCAGCAGCCGCGGUAAUACGUAGGGCGCAAGCGUUGUCCGGAAUUAUUGGGCGUAAAGAGCUCGUAGGCGGUCUGUCGCGUCGGAUGUGAAAGCCCGGGGCUUAACCCCGGGUCUGCAUUCGAUACGGGCAGACUAGAGUGUGGUAGGGGAGAUCGGAAUUCCUGGUGUAGCGGUGAAAUGCGCAGAUAUCAGGAGGAACACCGGUGGCGAAAGCGGAUCUCUGGGGCAUUACUGACGCUGAGGAGCGAAAGCGUGGGGAG
rnacentral:rRNA from 1 species